UACGUAGGGUGCGAGCGUUAAUCGGAAUUACUGGGCGUAAAGGGUGCGCAGGCGGCUCUGUAAGUCAGAUGUGAAAUCCCCGGGCUUAACCUGGGAAUUGCGUUUGAAACUACAAGGCUAGAGUGUGGCAGAGGGGGGUGGAAUUCCAUGUGUAGCAGUGAAAUGCGUAGAGAUAUGGAAGAACAUCGAUGGCGAAGGCAGCCCCCUGGGUCAACACUGACGCUCAGGCACGAAAGCGUGGGGAGCAAACAGG
rnacentral:rRNA from 1 species